CGGGAGGCAGCAGUUAGGAAUCUUCCGCAAUGGACGAAAGUCUGACGGAGCAACGCCGCGUGAGUGAAGAAGGUUUUCGGAUCGUAAAACUCUGUUGUGAGGGAAGAACAAGUAUCAACUAACUAUUGGUACCUUGACGGUACCUCACCAGAAAGCCACGGCUAACUACGUGCCAGCAGCCGCGGUAAUACGUAGGUGGCAAGCGUUGUCCGGAAUUAUUGGGCGUAAAGCGCGCGCAGGCGGUCCUUUAAGUCUGAUGUGAAAGCCCACGGCUCAACCGUGGAGGGUCAUUGGAAACUGGGGGACUUGAGUGCAGAAGAGGAAAGUGGAAUUCCACGUGUAGCGGUGAAAUGCGUAGAGAUGUGGAGGAACACCAGUGGCGAAGGCGACUUUCUGGUCUGUAACUGACGCUGAGGCGCGAAAGCGUGGGGAGCAAACAGGAUUAGAUACCCGGGUAGUCCACGCCCUAAAC
rnacentral:rRNA from 1 species